ensembl:lncRNA
CGGCCUGUGUCAAUCGAGGUUGAGUUUAGUGAGGGUUGAAAGUUUUCGAUCUAGAUUGCAGAUCACUAUUGUCACUUUAUACAAACUGAAAGUAUGUGUUGUUGCGUGUUUGUUUUUGUGGGCAUUUGACUGAACAGCCCAGACAAAUAUUGCUACCAACAUGGCACUUCGGAACAGACCACCGCAGUGAGUAAAAGUUAUUUUCCUUUAUUAAAUGUUGACGUUUUUGGGCUGUCUCCUCAGACACAAGCCAUGAGUAUCCCUGCUCUUUGCACCUUGACAUGCAUGUCACUGCUGUUUGUUAACCUAGCUUUUCUGAUUUGUAUCUUGUGAUGUGUGUGUGUGUGUGUGUGUGUGUGUUAGAUGACUGACAAGAUCUAUGGGGGGGCCCCCUUUGGGCCCCCCCAUACCAACUUAGUCUUCAAAGGAAUCUAGUGCCAUGGGACUCCAGUGUCUUCAAAACAUCCUCGGAAUACAUGUGUAUGGUGAAUGGUCCACCGAAGGGUUGAUCUGGAAGCCACCACGGUCCACGCAGUAAUCUGCUGCGUGGGCCGUAGUGGCUUCCAGAGCCAUCUUUCGGUCUUGGUCAGGAUUUGUUACAGUUGCCCAUCAAUGUAGCAGGCUACGGGUUUCUGAAGAAGCCUGCUUUACGUAGCAUUGGAGUACAAAUAUUGUGCAAAAUGCUCAUGUAAUUGCACUAGCACUGGUAACCUGUAGAUUAGCUUAGUUUAACGUCAUUCCGUGCUGUCUGUCAAAUGAGUGGCUUACUUUAAGUCCACAAGGCCCUCUGGUAAACCAUGUUGGAACACCCCUGGACAAGGUGAUUAGACACUGGGUGUGUCCUAAAGUUUUGUUCCAUUUUUCACUAGUUGGUUAAGGUUUGGUAGAAUUGUUUGGAUGCUAGCGACGUGAUGGCGUAUGUACAAGAGCCUACCGUGGCCAGGCCACAGUUGCGACGGCCACGGCCAGAUGGCCUAGUGUGAGUGCAACCUUGAUUGCAUUUAUAUACUGUUUACCAUUGGAUGUUUAUGCAAUUUGGCUUAAUUCAUCCGCUGUAAAGCUGCAUUUGACUAUUCCAGGGGCGUUUUGUACAGGCUUUCAAUUGACCAUGUUGACUAGUUUGUGGGAAGUUUUUUUUUUUUUUUUUUUUUUUUUUUUUUUUACCCUUGCACUAACACUAGCUUCAGCAUUUCCUUGUAGGCCAUUAGCUGACUUGUGUAUUGGAGCGAUGAUUUGGGUAUUUUAAGAUGCUUGAAAACCUAAAAUAAAGCCAAACUUUUCACUCUUAGGUUGUCCUUUUCUCUUGUUUUAACCCGAAAGGGCUGAAAAUAUCAACAUUUCAGGUAUUCUGUUUGGAUAAUGUGCAAAACUUGUGGCUUCACUAAUAAAAACAAUUAACAAAUGUAUUUUUCUUAAUGUGGUUAGACUAUUUAAAGAUUUGUAUGCAAAAUAUUUCUGAUCAAUUUGUGGUCAAUGAAACUCUGAAAUAUUUUAAUUUGAUAAAACACAACUAUGGGUUAAAGGUAUUUGCUUUGGGAAUCUUUUGAUAUUUUUAGAAUCUAGCUCCAUUGCCGUUAGAAAUGGUGUCUCCCAGUACUGCAAAGUGCUUCCACAAGUUUAAAAAAGAAUGGGCAGAAAAGGAACUGCCAACUAAAUCUAUUUAACAUGGGUAGAAAGUUUCCAUGGACGCUCUUGGCUGCUGGUUCCCAACACAGCUCCACUGUUAGCCUGUGACCUUGCGUUUAACUUUUUUGGACUUUUGGUGACUUUCACAAAAGAGAAAUGAACUGGUUAAUACAAUAAACAAGACAUUUGAAACUUCAAAGCUACAUUUUUAUCUAUUUGUACUGCCUUUGAUUACAACCCGUGACAUGUUUGUCAGGUGAUAACUAUGUACCUGUGACCGCAUAUCAUGGUACCAUUUUGAACUGUUUGUGGAUGUUGCAUUAAAUCCAUAUGCUUGAAACUUUUCAAUAAUGCAUAUCAACGAAACAAUGGAAUGAAAUAAAUAGUUCAAGCGAUUUGUGGGUCUUGGCUGCUUUUACAUUAUUACUAAUUUUGGG